GACGAACGCUGGCGGCGUGCUUAACACAUGCAAGUCGAGCGGUAAGGCCCUUUCGGGGGUACACGAGCGGCGAACGGGUGAGUAACACGUGGGUGACCUGCCUUUAGCUCUGGGAUAAGCCUGGGAAACCGGGUCUAAUACCGGAUAUGACUCCGCGGCGCAUGUUGGUGGGGUGGAAAGCCUUGUGCGGCUGGAGAUGGGCCCGCGGCCUAUCAGCUUGUUGGUGGGGUGANGGCCUACCAAGGCGACGACGGGUAGCCGGCCUGAGAGGGCGACCGGCCACACUGGGACUGAGACAC
rnacentral:rRNA from 1 species